CUGGGGUUUUGUUGUGCUUGGCCGCGAUCUCUUUAAUCUUGGGUUCAUCCAGAAGGGAAGGAUCCUCUGGCUUAGCCCUUGGCCUGCCAGGAAGGCCAAGG